rnacentral:lncRNA from 1 species
AGAAGUUCGCGCAGCAGCCUUGAUCCAGGGUUCGACAACGAGUUUUGGAAGUUACACACGGUAUCAUCUACCAGAUCAAGCUAAAAUGAACGCCAAGGCAAUCCUCGCAGUACUGGCUGUUUACGCCCUUCUUGUUGCAGGCACGUCAGCCUGCGGUGGUGAGGGCCACUCCGAAUCAGGAAGAUGCGGUGGCAGCGAAGGCCGCAGCGAACAAGGAGCUGCCGAGGCCCGCCUGGACAGCGCUGCAAUGUCCAGCGAGUCGGCUCGCUGCGGUGGCCAAUCCAGUCGCUGCGAUGGCUAGCGGCGCCCUCGGAUACGCAGCCACUUCCGCACGAAGCCAGCCGUAUUUUGCCAACUGAUGG